rnacentral:rRNA from 1 species
CCUAAUACAUGCAAGUCGAGCGGACGGAUGGGAGCUUGCUCCCUGAAGUCAGCGGCGGACGGGUGAGUAACACGUGGGCAACCUGCCUGUAAGACUGGGAUAACUUCGGGAAACCGGAGCUAAUACCGGAUAAUGCAUAACCUCUCAUGAGGUUAUGCUGAAAGAUGGUUUCGGCUAUCACUUACAGAUGGGCCCGCGGCGCAUUAGCUAGUUGGUGAGGUAACGGCUCACCAAGGCAACGAUGCGUAGCCGACCUGAGAGGGUGAUCGGCCACACUGGGACUGAGACACGGCCCAGACUCCUACGGGAGGCAGCAGUAGGGAAUCUUCCGCAAUGGACGAAAGUCUGACGGAGCAACGCCGCGUGAGUGAUGAAGGUUUUCGGAUCGUAAAACUCUGUUGUUAGGGAAGAACAAGUGCCGGAGUAACUGCCGGCACCUUGACGGUACCUAACCAGAAAGCCACGGCUAACUACGUGCCAGCAGCCGCGGUAAUACGUAGGUGGCAAGCGUUGUCCGGAAUUAUUGGGCGUAAAGCGCGCGCAGGCGGUCUCUUAAGUCUGAUGUGAAAGCCCACGGCUCAACCGUGGAGGGUCAUUGGAAACUGGGGGACUUGAGUGCAGAAGAGAAAGUGGAAUUCCACGUGU